AUUGAACGCUGGCGGCAUGCCUUACGCAUGCAAGUCGAACGGUAACAGGUCUUCGGAUGCUGACGAGUGGCGAACGGGUGAGUAAUACAUCGGAACGUGCCCGAGAGUGGGGGAUAACGAGGCGAAAGCUUUGCUAAUACCGCAUACGAUCUCAGGAUGAAAGCAGGGGACCGCAAGGCCUUGCGCUCACGGAGCGGCCGAUGGCAGGUUAGGUAGUUGGUGGGAUAAAAGCUUACCAAGCCGACGAUCUGUAGCUGGUCUGAGAGGACGGCCAGCCAAACUGGGAGUAAGACACGGCCCAGACUCCUACAGGAGCAAGCAGUGGGGAAUUUUGGACAAUGGGCGCAAGCCUGAUCCAGCCAUGCCGCGUGCAGGAUGAAGGCCUUCGGGUUGUAAACUGCUUUUGUACGGAACGAAAAGACUCUGGUUAAUACCUGGGGUCCAUGACGGUACCGUAAGAAUAAGCACCGGCUAACUACGUGCCAGCAGCCGCCGUAACAC
rnacentral:rRNA from 1 species